rnacentral:lncRNA from 1 species
AGAAGCAGGAGGUUUUCAACCCAGUGACAGUCACAGGGCAGCACCACCCCCUCCUCCUUCUUUCCACACCUGCAAACCCUUUUGCCUGGGCUGCAUAGUUAGUGUUAAUUACAUCGCAGCUUUGAGGGCUCCUGUGGCAAAUACCCGGAUUAAAAGGUAUGGCUUUCAAUAAUUGUCCUGAACUCUGCUACAGGCUAAUAAAGCUUCUGUCAAGUGGAGGGCAGAAGAAAAUAUCUGGUGAGAAAAAGGAACGAGAAGGAAGCUGUGCUAAACUUUUAGUAAUCUUUAGACAACGUUAGAAAUGAAUUGCUUGAAAACAGAAGUUAAGUACUCGGUAAAACAAACAAACAAAAAGGCAAAACUGUUUGAAUGCAUUGGUUUUGUGCUCUUGCUUCUGUUCUUGCAAAUAUGCUUAUUAAAAACUUGUAACCUAACACCAUGACUUGUCUAUAUUGGUAGUUUUGUGUUUGUACUGAUGAAAUGCUUUGCUCUUUAUAAACUGUCAGCAGAAAAGCAUUCGUAACUAGCAUAUUGCUUGUGCCUAAAUUAGGUAUUUAAGGGUUUCUUCUCGUGCUGUGUUCUUGCAUACUUCACAAUCUUUAAAACAUCAGCAAGACAAGUCUCUGGCUGUAGAAAUAUAAUGCCUACUUCUGCAACACCAGAAAUGAAUAGGAAUUAUUACCAGAAAGGUGAAAAGGAACACAGGAAAUAUUUAUGAUGUUAAAGAUCUGAGAUAAUACAGCUGCAGAGCUCUUUGGUUAUAAAUGUUUCUGUCAAUAUUUUCGAUGCAAAUUAACCUUUCUUAUGAGGUGCAUUCACUAUGAGGUGAGGGUGGGGGUUGAUUCUCAUUUUAACUUAAAGCAGAGUAAGCAGAGGACCACUGGUUACGUGUGCCCCAGUGUGUGACUCCAGUGAUCUCUGUGCCUGUGGCUUUUUCUUCCUGCAGCUGCUUAUUUUAGCAGACCUCUCCAAAAGAAACAUAGGUUUUAUUGUAGUUCUUGUUUGUGGACAAAUGUAUUUUUAUUGCUUGUAUUUUAAUUAUUCCUAUUGUUACUGAAGUUUUAAAUUCACCUUAAAAUGAGGGAUUUACAGAUUCACUUCAUACAUACGUGUUAAGUUUUAACUCUGAAACACCUAACAACAGUAUAAGUAUGUUUAUACAAAAGUUAACCUGGAUGAAAUAGCUAAGUAAAUAAAGAAAGAUUGUUUUGGGGCCAGACAGAUUACUUUUGGUGAGACAUUUCGGAACUUAAACAACUCUUUUUAGUGGAAAAAUGGCUUUACAAAUAUUUGAGAGGAACAGUUUCUACAAGAUAUAGUGUUGCUUCAGUCACAACCUGUUCGUUUGUAAAUUGUUUUUUGUUGUUCUAGUUGCCAUUUAUAACAAAAGGAAAAAAAAACAAACAAACAAAAAAACAAAACAAACAAACAAAAAAAAAAACACUGAAGAAAUGUUGAGGACCAGUGACUCUUAAGAUUUCUCUUAAGUUAAUUGCUCUAAACACGCUGGAUCUUUGAGUAGUAUAAAAAAUAUUUUAAAAGAAAUUUCAUGGGAGAACUGGAAGAAAAUUUAUAAGCAUUUUUUUAGGAUAACAGAGUUCAAAAACAUGCAUAUAUGCAUGCACACUUGCACAUAUACACACAUACACACAUGAG